rnacentral:rRNA from 1 species
ACUAAGCGUACACGGUGGAUGCCCUGGCAGUCAGAGGCGAUGAAGGACGUGCUAAUCUGCGAUAAGCGCCGGUAAGGUGAUAUGAACCGUUAUAACCGGCGAUUUCCGAAUGGGGAAACCCAGUGUGAUUCGUCACACUAUCAUUAACUGAAUCCAUAGGUUAAUGAGGCGAACCGGGGGAACUGAAACAUCUAAGUACCCCGAGGAAAAGAAAUCAACCGAGAUUCCCCCAGUAGCGGCGAGCGAACGGGGAGGAGCCCAGAGCCUGAAUCAGCAUGUGUGUUAGUGGAAGCGUCUGGAAAGGCGCGCGAUACAGGGUGACAGCCCCGUACACAAAAGCGCAUGUGCUGUGAGCUCGAUGAGUAGGGCGGGACACGUGGUAUCCUGUCUGAAUAUGGGGGGACCAUCCUCCAAGGCUAAAUACUCCUGACUGACCGAUAGUGAACCAGUACCGUGAGGGAAAGGCGAAAAGAACCCCGGCGAGGGGAGUGAAAAAGAACCUGAAACCGUGUACGUACAAGCAGUGGGAGCNUGAGGGAAAGGCGAAAAGAACCCCGGCGAGGGGAGUGAAAAAGAACCUGAAACCGUGUACGUACAAGCAGUGGGAGCCCCACCACUAAGCCAGUGGUGAACUCCACAUACGCAUCCUUUGCUGAGGAUACGGUUAACGGAGCGCAAGCGACGUUCAACCGCAAAAGAAGCAGAGGGGGCUUAGUGGUGGGGUGACUGCGUACCUUUUGUAUAAUGGGUCAGCGACUUAUAUUCUGUAGCAAGGUUAACCGUAUAGGGGAGCCGGAGGGAAACCGAGUCUUAAUUGGGCGUUAAGUUGCAGGGUAUAGACCCGAAACCCGGUGAUCUAGCCAUGGGCAGGUUGAAGGUUGGGUAACACUAACGGGCGUUAAGUUGCAGGGUAUAGACCCGAAACCCGGUGAUCUAGCCAUGGGCAGGUUGAAGGUUGGGUAACACUAACUGGAGGACCGAACCGACUAAUGUUGAAAAAUUAGCGGAUGACCUGUGGCUGGGGGUGAAAGGCCAAUCAAACCGGGAGAUAGCUGGUUCUCCCCGAAAGCUAUUUAGGUAGCGCCUCGUGAAUUCAUCUCCGGGGGUAGAGCACUGUUUCGGCUAGGGGGCCAUCCCGGCUUACCAACCCGAUGCAAACUGCGAAUACCGGAGAAUGUUAUCACGGGAGACACACGGCGGGUGCUAACGUCCGUCGUGAAGAGGGAAACAACCCAGACCGCCAGCUAAGGUCCCAAAGUCAUGGUUAAGUGGGAAACGAUGUGGGAAGGCCCAGACAGCCAGGAUGUUGGCUUAGAAGCAGCCAUCAUUUAAAGAAAGCGUAAUAGCUCACUGGUCGAGUCGGCCUGCGCGGAAGAUGUAACGGGGCUAAACCAUGCACCGAAGCUGCGGCAGCGAGUAAUAGCUCACUGGUCGAGUCGGCCUGCGCGGAAGAUGUAACGGGGCUAAACCAUGCACCGAAGCUGCGGCAGCGAACGUAUCACUUAAAGCGAUUCAGCGGGUUACGAUUGACGGAGCGAAGCGACGUCAAAGCGUAUACAAAGUCGAGUCGGUUUAAGGAUACGUUCGUUGGGUAGGGGAGCGUUCUGUAAGCCUGUGAAGGUGGCCUGUGAGGGUUGCUGGAGGUAUCAGAAGUGCGAAUGCUNGUUGGGUAGGGGAGCGUUCUGUAAGCCUGUGAAGGUGGCCUGUGAGGGUUGCUGGAGGUAUCAGAAGUGCGAAUGCUGACAUAAGUAACGAUAAAGCGGGUGAAAAGCCCGCUCGCCGGAAGACCAAGGGUUCCUGUCCAACGUUAAUCGGGGCAGGGUGAGUCGACCCCUAAGGCGAGGCCGAAAGGCGUAGUCGAUGGGAAACGGGUUAAUAUUCCCGUACUUGGUGUUACUGCGAAGGGGGGACGGAGAAGGCUAUGUUGGCCGGGCGACGGUUGUCCCGGUUUAAGCGUGUAGGUGUGUGUUCCAGGUAAAUCCGGUUCACUUUAACACUGAGGCGUGAUGACGAGGCACUACGGUGCUGAAGCAACAAAUGCCCUGCUUCCAGGAAAAGCCUCUAAGCAUCAGGUAACAUCAAAUCGUACCCCAAACCGACACAGGUGGUCAGGUAGAGAAUACCAAGGCGCUUGAGAGAACUCGGGUGAAGGAACUAGGCAAAAUGGUGCCGUAACUUCGGGAGAAGGCACGCUGACAUGUAGGUGAAGUGAUUUACUCAUGGAGCUGAAGUCAGUCGAAGAUACCAGCUGGCUGCAACUGUUUAUUAAAAACACAGCACUGUGCAAACACGAAAGUGGACGUAUACGGUGUGACGCCUGCCCGGUGCCGGAAGGUUAAUUGAUGGGGUCAGCGCAAGCGAAGCUCCUGAUCGAAGCCCCGGUAAACGGCGGCCGUAACUAUAACGGUCCUAAGGUAGCGAAAUUCCUUGUCGGGUAAGUUCCGACCUGCACGAAUGGCGUAAUGAUGGCCAGGCUGUCUCCACCCGAGACUCAGUGAAAUUGAACUCGCUGUGAAGAUGCAGUGUACCCGCGGCAAGACGGAAAGACCCCGUGAACCUUUACUAUAGCUUGACACUGAACAUUGAGCCUUGAUGUGUAGGAUAGGUGGGAGGCUUUGAAGCGUGGACGCCAGUCUGCGUGGAGCCGGCCUUGAAAUACCACCCUUUAAUGUUUGAUGUUCUAACGUGGACCCGUGAUCCGGGUUGCGGACAGUGUCUGGUGGGUAGUUUGACUGGGGCGGUCUCCUCCUAAAGAGUAACGGAGGAGCACGAAGGUUGGCUAAUCCUGGUCGGACAUCAGGAGGUUAGUGCAAUGGCAUAAGCCAGCUUGACUGCGAGCGUGACGGCGCGAGCAGGUGCGAAAGCAGGUCAUAGUGAUCCGGUGGUUCUGAAUGGAAGGGCCAUCGCUCAACGGAUAAAAGGUACUCCGGGGAUAACAGGCUGAUACCGCCCAAGAGUUCAUAUCGACGGCGGUGUUUGGCACCUCGAUGUCGGCUCAUCACAUCCUGGGGCUGAAGUAGGUCCCAAGGGUAUGGCUGUUCGCCAUUUAAAGUGGUACGCGAGCUGGGUUUAGAACGUCGUGAGACAGUUCGGUCCCUAUCUGCCGUGGGCGCUGGAGAACUGAGGGGGGCUGCUCCUAGUACGAGAGGACCGGAGUGGACGCAUCACUGGUGUUCGGGUUGUCAUGCCAAUGGCACUGCCCGGUAGCUAAAUGCGGAAGAGAUAAGUGCUGAAAGCAUCUAAGCACGAAACUUGCCCCGAGAUGAGUUCUCCCUGAGACUUAGAGUCUCCUGAAGGAACGUUGAAGACGACGACGUUGAUAGGCCGGGUGUGUAAGCGCAGCGAUGCGUUGAGCUAACCGGUACUAAUGAACCGUGAGGCUUAACC